CCACCUUUGACAUCCCGUGCUAUCUAGAGAGAUCUAGAGUCCCUUCGGGGCGCGGAGACAGGUGCUGCAUGGCUGUCGUCAGCUCGUGUCGUGAGAUGUUGGGUUAAGUCCCGCAACGAGCGCAACCCUCGCUUCUAGUUGCCAGCAUUUAGUUGGGCACUCUAGAGGAACUGCCUGCGCCAAGCAGGAGGAAGGCGGGGAUGACGUCAAGUCCUCAUGGCCCUUACAGGUGGGGCUACACACGUGCUACAAUGGCGGUGACAAAGGGAUAAUCCCUAAAAGCCGUCUCAGUUCGGAUUGUCCUCUGCAACUCGAGGGCAUGAAGUUGGAAUCGCUAGUAAUCGCGGAUCAGCACGCCGCGGUGAAUACGUUCCCGGGCCUUGUACACACCGCCCGUCACACCAUGGGAGUUGGUUCUACCCGAAGAUGGUGCGCUAACUUUUGAGGCAGCCAGCCACGGUAGUGUCAGCGACUGGGGUG
rnacentral:rRNA from 1 species